GAUGAACGCUGGCGGCAUGCUUUACACAUGCAAGUCGGACGGGAAGUGGUGUUUCCCGUGGCGGACGGGUGAGUAACGCGUAAGAACCUGCCCUUGGGAGGGGAACAACAGCUGGAAACGGCUGCUAAUACCCCGUAGGCUGAGGAGCGAAAGGCGGAAUCCGCCCAAGGAGGGGCUCGCGUCUGAUUAGCUAGUUGGUGAGGUAAUAGCUUACCAAGGCCGUGAUCAGUAGCUGGUCCGAGAGGAUGAUCAGCCACACUGGGACUGAGACAAGGCCCAGACUCCUACGGGAGGCAGCAGUGGGGAAUUUUCCGCAAUGGGCGAAAGCCUGACGGAGCAAUGCCGCGUGGAGGUAAAAGGCCUACGGGUCAUGAACUUCUUUUCCUGGAGAAGAAACAAUGACGGUAUCUGGGGAAUAAGCAUCGGCUAACUCUG
rnacentral:rRNA from 1 species